GGAUUCCCCUAGUAACGGCGAGUGAAGCGGGAAAAGCUCAAAUUUAAAAUCUGGCGGUCUACGGCCGUCCGAGUUGUAGUCUAGAGAGGCGUUUUCCGUGCCGGACCAUGCACAAGUCCCUUGGAACAGGGCGUCAUAGAGGGUGAGAAUCCCGUCCGUGGCAUGGACUCCCGGUGCUCUGUGAUGCGCCUUCGAAGAGUCGAGUUGUUUGGGAAUGCAGCUCAAAAUGGGUGGUAAAUUCCAUCUAAAGCUAAAUACAGGCGAGAGACCGAUAGCGAACAAGUACCGUGAGGGAAAGAUGAAAAGCACUUUGGAAAGAGAGUUAAACAGUACGUGAAAUUGUUGAAAGGGAAACGCUUGGAGUCAGUCGCGUUUGCCGGGACUCAGCCUUGCUUUUGCUUGGUGCACUUCCUGGUACACGGGCCAGCAUCAUUUUCGAUCGCCGGAAAAAGGCUUGGGGAAGGUGGCACCUCCGGGUGUGUUAUAGCCCCUUGUUGUAUACGGUGGUUGGGAUUGAGGACCGCAGCACGCCUUUUGGUCGGGGUUCGCCCACGCCACGUGCUUAGGAUGCUGGCGUAAUGGCUUUAAACGACCCGUCUUGAAACACGGACCAAGGAGUCUAACAUGCCUGCGAGUGUUUGGGUGUAAAACCCAGGCGCGUAAUGAAAGUGAAAGGUUGGGACUCUUCGCUGAGGCACCGACGCCCGAUCCUGACGUUCUCCGACGGAUUUGAGGUAGAGCAUGUAUGUUGGGACCCGAAAGAUGGUGAACUAUGCCUGAAUAGGGCGAAGCCAGAGGAAACUCUGGUGGAGGCUCGUAGCGAUUCUGACGUGCAAAUCGAUCGUCAAAUUUGGGUAUAGGGGCGAAAGACUAAUCGAACCAUCUAGUAGCUGGGUUCCUGC
rnacentral:rRNA from 1 species